rnacentral:rRNA from 1 species
AACGAACGCUGGCGGCAUGCCUAACACAUGCAAGUCGAACGAGACCUUCGGGUCUAGUGGCGCACGGGUGCGUAACACGUGGGAAUUUGCCUCGGGGUAUGGAAUAACUCAGGGAAACUUGAGCUAAUACCAUAUAAUGUCUUCGGACCAAAGAUUUAUCGCCCCUGAGAUAAGCCCGCGUAGGAUUAGCUAGUUGGUGAGGUAAAGGCUCACCAAGGCGACGAUCCUUAGCUGGUCUGAGAGGAUGAUCAGCCACACUGGAACUGAGACACGGUCCAGACUCCUACGGGAGGCAGCAGUGGGGAAUUUUGGACAAUGGGCGCAAGCCUGAUCCAGCAAUGCCGCGUGCAGGAUGAAGGCCUUCGGGUUGUAAACUGCUUUUGUACGGAACGAAACGGUGAGCUCUAAUACAGUUUGCUAAUGACGGUACCGUAAGAAUAAGCACCGGCUAACUACGUG